GGUGGAAGACCUUCCUUUUUUUUCCGAUCAUCUGGUAUCCUAAGCCACCUUUUCUAAUUGCAGGUAUAAAGACAUUCUUCUAUCCUUGUGGUACAUUUUCAAAGAUUGCUACCGUUGCAACAAACAGGCACAUGUCUUCUGCAGAAGCAUGCAACGAAUUAAUGACGUAUUCGUUGAUAUUGUCAUGCUGUUGCUACACUUGCUGUGUUAGAAGGAAGCUUCGCAAGACGUUGAACGUUACGGGUGGCUUUAUCGAUGAUUUCCUUUCGCAUUUGAUGUGCUGCUGUUGUGCCCUUGUUCAAUAAUGGCGAGAAGUAGAGAUGCGAGGGAUCUAUGGUAUGUCCUAUACAUCAUACCAAG